rnacentral:rRNA from 1 species
GCCGAACGCUGGCGGCGUGCUUAACACAUGCAAGUCGAACGAAGUGGCGAACGGGUGAGUAACGCGUAAUCAACCUGCCCCUCAGAGGGGGACAACAGUUGGAAACGACUGCUAAUACCGCAUACUGAAGGAGGGGAUUUCGUCUGAUUGGCUCGUUGGAGGGGUAACGGCCCACCAAGGCGAUGAUCAGUAGCCGGUCCGAGGGGAUGAACAGCCACAUUUGGACUGGAACACGGCCCAGAAUCCUACGGGAGGCAGCAGUGGGGAAUCUUCCGCAAUGGACGAAAGUCUUGCGGAGCAACGCCGCGUGCGUGAUGACGGCCUUCGGGUUGUAAAGCUCUGUUAAUCGGGACGCGGUACCGGAAUAGAAAGCCACGGCUAACUACGUGCCAGCAGCCGCGGUAAUUC